rnacentral:rRNA from 1 species
GUAGGUGGCAAGCGUUGUCCGGAAUUAUUGGGCGUAAAGCGCGCGCAGGCGGUUCUUUAAGUCUGAUGUGAAAGCCCACGGCUCAACCGUGGAGGGUCAUUGGAAACUGGAGAACUUGAGUACAGAAGAGGAAAGCGGAAUUCCACGUGUAGCGGUGAAAUGCGUGGAGAUGUGGAGGAACACCAGUGGCGAAGGCGGCUUUCUGGUCUGUAACCGACGCUGAGGUGCGAAAGCGUGGGGAGCAAACAGGGAUUAGAUACCCUGGUAGUCCACGCCGUAAACGAUGAGUGCUAAGUGUUAGGGGGGUUUCCGCCCCCUUAGUGCUGCAGCUAACGCAUUAAGCACUCCGCCUGGGGAGUACGGCCGCAAGGCUG